UUGGAAGCGUUUGAUAAAUUUAUAAUACUGAACUUUAGCUUUUAUUUUAUUGAAAAAAGAAACGAAAGAAUUAAAAGGAAGACAUUAAUAUGCAUAUAUAAGUAUAUACAGAAAAUCCACUUGAUGCACCAGGGGAACCGCAUGUGAAAUGUGGCUGGCAUUUACAGCGUCCUGAGUUGAAAGGGGAAAAGCUAACUCCGACCAACCCUCAAUAGCCGCAGACGUUAUGGUCGGAGUUAGCAGUAUUGAGGCAAAUGGCACAAGCGCUAACGACGAUGACAACGGUGCUCAUUAAACUUUCUUAUAAAUUGAACAAACAAGAUCACAAAACAUCAACUGUCAUCUAGUGAGAACUAUUUCAUUGUGGUCUUAUUUUACUAUUUUUCUUUACUAGAGUUUUCUCAUAUAAUAAACGCAUUUUAAAUUCCGAAAUAUUCAUGAACUGGAGAAACACG